rnacentral:rRNA from 1 species
AUUGAACGCUGGCGGCAGGCCUAACACAUGCAAGUCGAACGAGUGGCGGACGGGUGAGUAAUGUCUGGGAAACUGCCUGAUGGAGGGGGAUAACUACUGGAAACGGUAGCUAAUACCGCAUACCAUCAGAUGUGCCCAGAUGGGAUUAGCUAGUUGGUGGGGUAACGGCUCACCAAGGCGACGAUCCCUAGCUGGUCUGAGAGGAUGACCAGCCACACUGGAAAGUAGACACGGUCCCAACUCCUACGGGAGGCAGCCGUGGGGAAAAUUUCAAAAUGGGCGCAAGCCUGAUGGAGCCAUUGCGCUUGUAUGAAGAAGGCCUUCGGGUUGUAAAGGACUUUCAGCGGGGAGGCGGUACCCGCAGAAGAAGCACCGGCUAACUCCGUGCCAGCAGCCGCGGUAAUAC